CCCAGACAACUAGGAUGUUGGCUUAGAAGCAGCCAUCAUUUAAAGAGUGCGUAAUAGCUCACUAGUCGAGUGACACUGCGCCGAAAAUGUACCGGGGCUAAACAUAUUACCGAAGCUGUGGAUUGUCCUUUGGACAAUGGUAGGAGAGCGUUCUAAGGGCGUUGAAGCAUGAUCGUAAGGACAUGUGGAGCGCUUAGAAGUGAGAAUGCCGGUGUGAGUAGCGAAAGACGGGUGAGAAUCCCGUCCACCGAUUGACUAAGGUUUCCAGAGGAAGGCUCGUCCGCUCUGGGUUAGUCGGGUCCUAAGCUGAGGCCGACAGGCGUAGGCGAUGGAUAACAGGUUGAUAUUCCUGUACCACCUAUAAUCGUUUUAAUCGAUGGGGGGACGCAGUAGGAUAGGCGAAGCGUGCGAUUGGAUUGCACGUCUAAGCAGUAAGGCUGAGUAUUAGGCAAAUCCGGUACUCGUUAAGGCUGAGCUGUGAUGGGGAGAAGACAUUGUGUCUUCGAGUCGUUGAUUUCACACUGCCGAGAAAAGCCUCUAGAUAGAAAAUAGGUGCCCGUACCGAAAACCGACACAGGUAGUCAAGAUGAGAAUUCUAAGGUGAGCGAGCGAACUCUCGUUAAGGAACUCGGCAAAAUGACCCCGUAACUUCGGGAGAAGGGGUGCUCUUUAGGGUUAACGCCCAGAAGAGCCGCAGUGAAUAGGCCCAAGCGACUGUUUAUCAAAAACACAGGUCUCUGCUAAACCGUAAGGUGAUGUAUAGGGGCUGACGCCUGCCCGGUGCUGGAAGGUUAAGAGGAGUGGUUAGCUUCUGCGAAGCUACGAAUCGAAGCCCCAGUAAACGGCGGCCGUAACUAUAACGGUCCUAAGGUAGCGAAAUUCCUUGUCGGGUAAGUUCCGACCCGCACGAAAGGCGUAACGAUUUGGGCACUGUCUCAACGAGAGACUCGGUGAAAUCAUAGUACCUGUGAAGAUGCAGGUUACCCGCGACAGGACGGAAAGACCCCGUGGAGCUUUACUGUAGCCUGAUAUUGAAAUUCGGCACAGCUUGUACAGGAUAGGUAGGAGCCUUUGAAACGUGAGCGCUAGCUUACGUGGAGGCGCUGGUGGGAUACUACCCUAGCUGUGUUGGCUUUCUAACCCGCACCACUUAUCGUGGUGGGAGACAGUGUC
rnacentral:rRNA from 1 species